CCAGCAGCCGCGGUAAUUCCAGCUCCAGUAGCGUAUAUUAAUGUUGUUGCAGUUAAAAAGCUCGUAGUUGGAUUUCUAGCCGAUUUGCAUGGUCCGUUGACUACGUCUGCGAGUACCGUCGUAAAUCGUCUAUCCUAUCAGUUUAUUUGGGUUACGGCCCAGGUUGACUGGUUCUUUUACUUUGAAAAAAUUAGAGUGUUUAAAGCAGGCUUGCGCAAUGAAUACAUUAGCAUGGAAUAAUAACAUAGGACUUCGGUCUCUAUUUUGUUGGUUUCUAGAACUGAAGUAAUGAUUGAUAGGGAUAGUUGGGGGUGCUAGUAUUCAGCGGCCAGAGGUGAAAUUCUCGGAUUCGCUGAAGACUAACUUAUGCGAAAGCAUUCACCAAGGAUGUCUUCUUUAAUCAAGAACGAAAGU
rnacentral:rRNA from 1 species